AUUGAACGCUGGCGGCAUGCUUUACACAUGCAAGUCGAACGGUAACAGGUCUUCGGAUGCUGACGAGUGGCGAACGGGUGAGUAAUACAUCGGAACGUGCCUAGUAGUGGGGGAUAACUACUCGAAAGAGUAGCUAAUACCGCAUGAGAUCUACGGAUGAAAGCAGGGGACCUUCGGGCCUUGUGCUACUAGAGCGGCUGAUGGCAGAUUAGGUAGUUGGUGGGGUAAAGGCUUACCAAGCCUGCGAUCUGUAGCUGGUCUGAGAGGACGACCAGCCACACUGGGACUGAGACACGGCCCAGACUCCUACGGGAGGCAGCAGUGGGGAAUUUUGGACAAUGGGCGAAAGCCUGAUCCAGCAAUGCCGCGUGCAGGAUGAAGGCCCUCGGGUUGUAAACCGCUUUUGUACGGAACGAAAAGCCUGGGGCUAAUAUCCCCGGGUCAUGACGGUACCGUAAGAAUAAGCACCGGCUAACUCUGUGCCAGCCGCCGCAGUAA
rnacentral:rRNA from 1 species